GACGUAGGGCGCGAGCGUUGUCCGGAUUUAUUGGGCGUAAAGAGCUCGUAGGCGGCUUGUUGCGUCGACUGUGAAAACCUGCGGCUCAACCGUGUGGUCUGCAGUCGAUACGGGCAGGCUGGAGUUCGGUAGGGGAGACUGGAAUUCCGGGUGUAGCGGUGAAAUGCGUAGAUAUCCGGAGGAACACCGGUGGCGAAGGCGGCUUCCUGGACCGACACUGACGCUGAGGCGCGAAAGCUAGGGGAGCAAACGGG
rnacentral:rRNA from 1 species